CCUACGGGGGGCAGCAGUGAGGAAUAUUGGUCAAUGGGCGGAAGCCUGAACCAGCCAAGUAGCGUGCAGGAUGACGGCCCUACGGGUUGUAAACUGCUUUUAUACGGGAAUAACGCGCCUUACGUGUAGGGCUUUGCAUGUACCGUAUGAAUAAGGACCGGCUAAUUCCGUGCCAGCGGCCGCGGUAAUACGGAAGGUCCGGGGGUUAUCCGGAUUUAUUGGGUUUAAGGGGAGCGAAGGCCGCAUGUCAGGAGGGCGGUGAAAUGUCCGGGCUCAACCCGGGCCUUGCCGGGAGAACGGGCGGGCUUGAGUCCGCGGAAGGAAGGCGGAAGU
rnacentral:rRNA from 1 species